GCCGCGGUAGCUUAAUGGUAAAGCAGGCGCCUGAAGAGCGUCUGAAGGCAGUUCGAUUCUGCCCCGCGGCA
rnacentral:tRNA from 1 species